rnacentral:lncRNA from 1 species
CUGAAAUGAGUUUGAGAUUGAUGGUGUACUCUGUUGACCUUCAUGGGAAUGCCUACCAGGAGGUGGUGGGAGGCCAGACUUUUUUCUCAGCUGGACAAAUGUGUGUGGAUGAAGUUCGUUGUCUAGAGUCUACUGAAACCAGCUUAAAUAUUUUCUUGGAGGGUCCACGACUGUUGUGUGUUACAAAAGGUCAGAAGCAGAGACUUGAAAUUGCAUACUUUCUGCUUCCCCUAGUCCCGUUUCCUCUAUACAGUUUACAGCUCAACUGCUGCUUGUGUGUCUUGACCUCAUGAUGCCUUAGCAAAGGUCAGUCAAAUCCUGACUUGCAUGGAGAAUAUGACUAGAGAACUAUUACAGUUUCGUGCAAUACAGGAAAUGAGGAGGCAGCCCAGGAAACUGUGAGGUGGUGAACAGAAAGCAAAUGAAAAGAUACACUUCAUUCUCCACACUGUGCACAAUUAAACUUUUGAACUCAGAAUGCAUUCACACAGAGAAGUUCAAGAAGAGAUUUAAUAAAUUCUGAGAAGAAAAAUCUGCA